GUAGGGUGCAAGCGUUGUUCGGAAUUAUUGGGCGUAAAGCGUGCGUAGGCGGAUUAGAAAGUCGGGUGUGAAAGCCCACAGCUUAACUGUGGAAUUGCGCUCGAAACUCCCAAUCUUGAGGACGGUAGAGGCAGGUGGAAUUCCUGGUGUAGAGGUGAAAUUCGUAGAUAUCAGGAGGAACACUCGUGGCGAAGGCGGCCUGCUGGACCGUUCCUGACGCUGAGGUACGAAAGCGUGGGGAGCAAACAGGAUUAGAUACCCUGGUAGUCCACGCCGUAAACGAUGAGUACUAGGCGUUGGAGGUAUUGACCCCUUCAGUGCCCGGCGCUAACGCAAUAAGUACUCCGCCUGGGAAGUACGGUCGCAAGAUUA
rnacentral:rRNA from 1 species